rnacentral:rRNA from 1 species
CUUUGGGAUAACCCUCGGAAACGGGGGCUAAUACCGGAUAUGACCUUUGACCGCAUGGUUGGGGGUGGAAAGUUUUUCGGCCUGGGAUGGGCUCGCGGCCUAUCAGCUUGUUGGUGGGGUGAUGGCCUACCAAGGCGACGACGGGUAGCCGGCCUGAGAGGGCGACCGGCCACACUGGGACUGAGACACGGCCCAGACUCCUACGGGAGGCAGCAGUGGGGAAUAUUGCACAAUGGGCGGAAGCCUGAUGCAGCGACGCCGCGUGAGGGAUGACGGCCUUCGGGUUGUAAACCUCUUUCAGCAGGGACGAAGCGCAAGUGACGGUACCUGCAGAAGAAGCGCCGGCCAACUACGUGCCAGCAGCCGCGGUAAGACGUAGGGCGCGAGCGUUGUCCGGAUUUAUUGGGCGUAAAGAGCUCGUAGGCGGCUUGUCGCGUCGACUGUGAAAACCCACAGCUCAACUGUGGGCUUGCAGCCGAUACGGGCAGGCUAGAGUUCGGUAGGGGAGGCUGGAAUUCCUGGUGUAGCGGUGAAAUGCGCAGAUAUCAGGAGGAACACCGGUGGCGAAGGCGGGUCUCUGGGCCGAUACUGACGCUGAGGAGCGAAAGCGUGGGGAGCGAACAGGAUUAGAUACCCUGGUAGUCCACGCUGUAAACGUUGGGCGC